rnacentral:tRNA from 1 species
AUUAUUUUAGCAAAAUUAGUGCAUUAAAUUUAGAAUUUAAAAUAUUAAUAAUAAAAUUAUUAAAAUAAUA